rnacentral:snoRNA from 1 species
GUCGAAUAUAGGAUGAAAAAAAUACGGAUGUAAGGACGGGUCUCAGACUCGCGUGUCCGAGAGCGCAUUAAACCCAUGUGGAUCUCUCCGUUGCCUUCCUUCUGAGUUUCUU